UUUUUAAAUCAACUCUUUUGGAUUUUCUGCAUAGACGAUCAUGUAAUCUGUGAACAGAGACAGUUUCAUUUCUUCCUUUGCAAUCUGUAUACCUUUUAUUUCUUUUUCUUGUUGCAUUAGCUAGUAUUUCCAUUUGUUUAAGGCUACACAACUUCUGCCGAAAGAUGACUUUGCCACAGCUUUUAAACAUAUGAUGCCCCUCCCCAAGUCCAUCACAUCUGAUAACCACUGUCAGGCUAGACAGUGGACUCAUGGUGCUCUCAGGGCGACCUCACAGGGGCUUGGCCGUGGCACUGAGGGGAGAGCCUGAUUGGCUGGCUGUUUCAUUGCCAGAUCUCUGAAGGCCAAUCAGGAUUUGAUAUAAUUGUAAAUAAGUUGAAGCCUGUUGGUCAAUUCCACUCCAAACAAUAUUGUCUUCAGUUGCAUGGGCUCCGGUAUACUAAAUAAUGCAAAUUAGUUCUCCCUAAACUGUAAGCUAACUCCACUCCAUGAAUUAACUUACAGGGAUUUAUCAAGCAUGUAUCAAAUAUGGGACAUUUCCAUACCGGGAACUAAGGGCAAAGACACAAUUCCUUGUUUUUAUAUGGCUUUGUCUAUUAAGAUGUAGGAGUGGCCAUCUUCACCUUAUUCAGUUAAAAGAAUGACUUCUUUUUAUUCUUAAAGACUUCAUCUAGAUGUUUUCUCUUUGUGGUCGCUCCUGACCUCCAGUCCCUCUGUUGAGCCCUCCUAGAUUAUUGUAAGGAUGUAGGUGGAAGUGAAUAAACUUGAAAAGGUGUGCCAGGCCUCAGGAGUCCUUGGAGAGAGACAUGGAGGCUUGUGUUAAAAGUUUGUUAGAAGGUUUUCACUUUGAAGUUGAGAAAUUCAGGCCAGUGAGCCAAGGCAUGAGAGAUGUAACCAGGUUUUGUUCCUGGGGGUUCAAAGCCAAGGGCAGCUGAUGAAGUGACAGAACUGGCUCAGAAAUCUGAGCAGCAGCAGCUUGAAGGUACUUAGAUGGGUGGGAAAGUGGGACUCAACUGAGGUACCAAGGGGCCCCUCUGCAACGCACUAACUCUCUCAGUAACCACUAUGGUCUAUCCUUUUAAAACAACACAAAUUUAAUGUCUUUAUAUUAAAGCUAAGAUUCAGCCUAGAAGCUGAAGUUUGAUAUUGAGGAUGAAUGCCACUUAGUGCAGUAGUUAGUUUGUUUGUGUGCGUGUGUUUUUUUUUUUUUUUUUUUUUUUUUUUGAGAUGGAGUUUCGCUGUAUCACCAGGCUGGAGUGCAAUGGUGCAAUCUUGGCUCACUGCAACCUCUGACUCCCUGGUUCAGGCGAUUCUCCUGCCUCAGCCUCCUGAGUAGGUGGGAUUAUAGGCACACACCACCACGCCCAGCUAAUUUUUGUAUUUUUAGUAGAAAUGGGGUUUCACCAUGUUGGCCGGGAUGGUCUUGAUCUCCUGACCUUGUGAUCCACCUGCCUCGGCCUUCCAAAAUGUUGGGAUUACCGGCGUGAGCCACCGCACCCGGCCCAGUGCAGUGGUUCUUAAUCCUGAAGACAUAUUAGA
rnacentral:lncRNA from 1 species